UACGGGGGGAGCAAGCGUUGUUCGGAUUUACUGGGCGUAAAGGGCGCGUAGGCGGCAAUUCAAGUCAUCUGUGAAAUCUCCGGGCUUAACUCGGAACGGUCAGAUGAUACUGCUUUGCUAGAGUGCAGAAGGGGCAAUCGGAAUUCUUGGUGUAGCGGUGAAAUGCGUAGAUAUCAAGAGGAACACCUGAGGUGAAGACGGGUUGCUGGGCUGACACUGACGCUGAGGCGCGAAAGCCAGGGGAGCAAACGGG
rnacentral:rRNA from 1 species